AAAGAACCCCCGACCCCACUCCUCUUGCUCCACACAACCACCCACCCCCAGCCCUGAGAGAGACCAGCGGUAAAUCUCGGCAGCUGUAAAAAUGAAAAGCAGAAGAAAAAAGUCAACGUGGAGAGAUCAGCACAUGGCCGCAGGGUAGGGAGUGGGUCUUGAGAGAGCAUGAAGCCCAAAGUGCUGGGGAAAGCAUUCUUAGGACAGAGGUAGAAAUAAGAAAAAGAAAACGUGGUGCUUUUCUGGCCUACUUAUGAAGUCACAUAUCAGUGAUCCUCUACAGACUGAGUCAGAGAAUCCUGGGAAGGAAAAGUCCAUUACUUUACUAAAGGAUAAUUAGUCUGCCUAUCUCUGUAGCAUGGCUUAAGGCAAACGCAUCUUCCUAGGGGCGGUCCCACCUUCCUGUGUGCUGGCCCCUUAGCUCGAUCAUUAACCCUGCUCAACGGAGAAGCCAGAGAGGGUUUUUUGUUUGUUUGUUUGUUUGUUUGUUUUGGUCUUCCAGACCGGAAGUGUUCCUAACGGACCUUUAAUGCUGCCGCGCCACUUACAGCGCCAGUGUAAGCCCAUUCAACUUUGUUGUUAAGUAGUCCUUGCUUUAUCAACGGUCAUCUGAAAAUCUUCUAUCCGUGAAGUUAAGGACGUGCAUAUAUGACGCACACUGAGACACCAGGCUCACAAGGGCACCUCAUGGCUUGUGAGACCAGUCUCGUCUGCGGCUUCCAUUCGGUGUCUCUUCGGUGUGCCAGAUGUACUGUAUGAGGUCCGUAGAAAACGAAGCCCAAGGAAACUUGGAGGCUGAAGCCCUCAUGGAACUCCCAGUGAAAGAAGAGAACCACGUGGGCGUGGCAAGGACCACAUUGAUAGUGUUUUCUAAAAGUUACUCACUGCGUGAUGAAGCCCAAGGAGCACCUAAAUCAUACACGCGGCGACCCCAAGAGGCGUCCUCAGAGAGGUGGCCAUUAGAUUCUGCAGGACCAAGAAGAUGACAAGGGGAAAGAGAGGAAGGAGACUGACUGGGCAAACGACGAGAAGUACCUACCCCCAACCCCCCUCAGAGAGCUUGAGACAAGAAACUGGCUUUCAGAAUGUGAAGAACAAGAGCGACAGCUAAUGGACUCUAAAGUAGCCAGAUGGGAAACCCAGCCACAAAUAAGAAAUAAAAAAUAAGGCUAGCAAGAUGCCUUAGUGGGCGAAGCAUUUCUGCACCACCCUGGCAAGCAGACUUCAAUCCCCAGACCCCACAUCAAAAAGCUGGAAAAAGUGAGAGCAUCUGCAAUCCCAGGACUCCUAAAGUGAGAAGAAAGCUGGAGGCAGGAGAAUGCCUGUGGACCAGAUAUCCUGGAAGAUGAACCUCAGCAAAAACAGAGACCUCGCCUCAAAGAUGCAGAGAGAACUGACUUCCUAAAGUUGUCCUCUGACCUCCCCGUGUGCUUUAUGGCUUAUGCAUGCCUGUAUAUUCUCUCUCCCUCUCCCUCUCCCUC
rnacentral:lncRNA from 1 species